ACUAUAGAGUUUAGUACUAUAGUCUGUUUUAUUACUCACAGUGCUAUAUUUUUCAAGAAGUCGUUUUAAAAAAAAAUAUAUAUUUCAAAUAAUUUCGCGGCACCCUGGUUGGGAAACUGGCUUACACAUUAGACGCGUUUCUUAAAGAUAUAAAGCGCGCCAAUACUUUGUAUUUUGCGAUAUACUCGCAUUGUUACUAUAUAUUGUACAUGACCACAUGUGCAGUACUUUGCGUUGCAAUCCACUGUUAUUUAGUUCAAUAUUUUUAAAUAUGAAAAGCUUAAACGAUGUAGAAGCUGCGUGCGUUAUGCUUGCACUAUACUGUGAAUAUGAACAAAAACAAUAGAAAAAAAAGUGAAAUGGCGACAUUAGGUUCAUUCUUUAAUCUAAAAAGACCAGAAAAUGUAUCUUCAUUCGACACCUCAAGAAUAAACUCUUCAGUGUCAAACAUCUUAAUAAUAUAAAUGGAUACAAUUUGUACGGGAAUCGUUCAAGUUUGAAGGCACAAAUUAUGGACACUUAUCAAUCGUAUACAUACCGAAAAUAUAAAGUGUACAAUUUUUUUUUUGUAUAGAGCGAGAAGGCGCCCUUAGAAUCUAGGGGUUUUGUGCUUGUAUCGCUCUUAUUUUAUAAAUUUUAUAUUUCUUUAUACUUUUUUUUCGGUUUUGUUUUAUUAUUAAUACUGUUUGCUAAAAUUAAAAAUAAUAAAAUCUGUAUUGCUCCAAAGCGCGCUG